rnacentral:rRNA from 1 species
AGAGCGAACGCUGGCGGCAGGCCUAACACAUGCAAGUCGAGCGCCCCGCAAGGGGAGCGGCAGACGGGAGAGUAACACGUGGGAACGUACCCUUUGGUUCGGAACAACACAGGGAAACUUGUGCUAAUACCGGAUAAGCCCUUACGGGGAAAGAUUUAUCGCCAAAGGAUCGGCCCGCGUCUGAUUAGCUUGUUGGUGAGGUAACGGCUCACCAAGGCUACGAUCAGUAGCUGGUCUGAGAGGAUGAUCAGCCUCACUGGGACUGAGACACGGCCCAGACUCCUACGGGAGGCAGCAGUGGGGAAUAUUGGACAAUGGGCGCAAGCCUGAUCCAGCCAUGCCGCGUGGAUGAUGAAGGCCCUAGGGUUGUAAAGUCCUUUCGACGGGGAAGAUAAUGACGGUACCCGUAGAAGAAGCCCGGCUAACUUCGCGCCAGCAGCCGC